AAGAAUAACCUGAUAUUGGAAAUAUUUGCCCUUUACGGUCAUGGACACAGUCUGACCUUAAAAUCAGGUCAACACGUCUGUUUACUUCCUCUUUGAGUAGGAAAUAACUUCCUGAGGAUAAACUCACUUCCUCAGGAAGUCCCAGGCUUCCCAAGGUGGUUGGGCUGAUUAGUAAAUAAUGAGAGAAAAGCCCUUGAGCUCUCAGUGUGUUCCUUUAGAUUCCAUAUAUUUAAAAACGUAGAGAAUCCCCAUUACGGAGGGAAUAAUAUACAAGUAAUUGAGAUAUUACUUGUGAUCAUUAAGAGGUGAUUGAGGAAUUGUUAUCAGGAAGCAGAGAGCAGUACAGUUUGUCAUAGUAAGUGUAACUGGGAAGCUUUAGUUGUUUAUGACUCUGCUGCCGUCCACGAUGGGGCACCUCCUGCCGCCGCCUGCCACCUGCUACGCUGGAGGACGUCUGUUCUUCAAACAGCUGCGUGUGUGUGGGCUUCACAAAACCAGAUUGCUCUGCACUGGGGAGAGAUUCUGAGCUGUACAGGAAGGAGACGCAGCAGCACUGUCCUUCAGACUAUUAAAACACCCCCGAUUUCUGGCCUCAGAAGAAUGUUGCAGGUCCAUUUGCUUUUGUUGUUCCUGCCCAAGAUAUGGAAUCAGUCAUGCCCAAUGGGAUUUUUUGUUAGUGGGGUAACGUUUCAAGAUGUAAAUAUGGGAAUAAAGCAAAGGAUUCCUGCUGCUAUGGGCUCACUUUUGAUAAAGUUGGACCUGGAGGACGUAUAUUUUUAAGCAACCAAAGAUGUAACUGAAGUUGGGCCCUCUCCAUCAGAUCUUCAAAAGUGCCCGGACAUGCCCGAUGGGAGCAGUGACGAGCAAUAGGCUACAGCUCCGUCAAGGUAGCCGCUGCGUGAGUUACGUGCUUGCUUUCCACCGAUAACUCCAUAGGGUCACUCCUGCAGUUGCUUGACUCCUUCAAGGAAGGAACUGUGUUGUAUCCCCCUUUGUAUGCCAAGUGACUAUCACAGUGAUUGCCAUUCAAUAAACAUUUGAAAAAUGUUCAUUAAGUGAAUGAAUGGAUUCUUAUUCAGAUUCUAAAAAAGGA